rnacentral:rRNA from 1 species
UACAGAGGGUGCGAGCGUUAAUCGGAAUUACUGGGCGUAAAGCGCACGUAGGUGGCGACGUAAGUCGGGUGUGAAAGCCCCGGGCUCAACCUGGGAAUUGCAUUCGAGACUGCAUUGCUGGAGUACGGAAGAGGAAGGCGGAAUUCCAGGUGUAGCGGUGAAAUGCGUAGAUAUCUGGAGGAACACCGGUGGCGAAGGCGGGUCUCUGGGCCGAUACUGACGCUGAGGAGCGAAAGCGUGGGGAGCGAACAGG